rnacentral:rRNA from 1 species
GGGGAAUAUUGCACAAUGGGGGAAACCCUGCUGCAGCGACGCCGCGUGAGUGAAGACGUAUUUCGGUAUGUAAAGCUCUAUCAGCAGGGAAGAAAAGAUGACGGUACCUGAGUAAGAAGCCCCGGCUAACUACGUGCCAGCAGCCGCGGUAAUACGUAGGGGGCAAGCGUUAUCCGGAUUUACUGGGUGUAAAGGGAGCGUAGACGGUUUGGCAAGUCUGAAGUGAAAGGCAUGGGCUUAACCCGUGGACUGCUUUGGAAACUGCAUGACUGGAGUGCAGGAGAGGUAAGUGGAAUUCCUAGUGUAGCGGUGAAAUGCGUAGAUAUUAGGAGGAACACCAGUGGCGAAGGCGGCUUACUGGACUGUAACUGACGUUGAGGCUCGAAAGCGUGGGGAGCAAACAGG